UGGAAGCAGCUGCCGCAUGCAAAAACACAUUACUGUAUACUAGCUGGGGUUGUUUAUUUGCAAGUAGAGAAGAGAAUAGAAAUGAUUGUAAAGUGGAUAAUAACCAUUUAUUUUAUGUGCGUAUAGAUGAUAAGGAUCAUAUACUAUUUUAAAAAAAUAUCAUUAUAAAUUGGAUAAUCUAAAAAAAUAUGUGCCGAGAUAAAUGGGGAGGGAGGAGUACUAUUUUAAAUUAGUAAAAUGGUGGUGAGACAACUCAAAAAGUAGUGUUAAAUGCUAAAUUUUAUUUUCUAAAUUUAGAUUGGUUCGUUUGAAAUGGAACAACUCAAAAUAAAAAUUGAGUUAUUUGAAGUGAGAUAGAAAGAGUAUUUUUUUUUUUUUUUGGUGUGAAAUAGAGGGAGUACUAAUUAUUUUGAUUAUUGAAUUGCAAAUCAAAAAAAUAAGGUUACAAAAUAGUGGUAGCUGUAGUUCCAUUAUAGCUAGCUCGUACAUACUAAAUCAUUGAGGGGCGCCGACAAUUUGGUCGACGAAUAUCUUGAGAUUGAGUUGAGACGUUCCACCCUCGGCCAUGGCUUCCCUCGCCAAAUCCCUCCAAUUCUUGGCCUGCUUCCUUAUCUCCACGCUCGCAUCUCCGCCGUCCAUCACCAUCUCCAAGCACCUCUGGAUUUCAUCCGCCUCCACAAUCUCUCCGUUUCCCGCCUUCACUGCUCUGACUCCACUUCUCCAUACAUCCUCCACCAGCUUGGCGUUGGUGCACUGAUCGGUCCACUGCGGCAGCGCCACCACCGGCACCCCACACGCCAGGCUCUCGAGAGUCGAGUUCCAUCCACAGUGCGUCACGAAACACCCCACGCUUGGGUGGGAGAGAACCUCAACCUGAGUGCACCACGCCACGAUUUUCCCUUUCUUCUCAAGAUCCUCUCUGCAGCUCAGAGUUCGGUCGGAGCCUCGGAUCACCCACAGGAAGGGGCGGCCGCUUCUCAUCAGCGCCUCCGCGAUGGCCUCCACCUGCAACCUCGGCAGCUCAGAAAAGCUCCCGAAAGCCACGUAGAUUACCGAUCCCGUCUCUGCACACUCCAAAUACUGCAUGUAAUCUUCCGAUUUUUGAAUCAAAUCACCUCCAAAACUAGUGUCGGAUGGAUCCCUGCCGUCCAAAAACGCAGAAGGAAUCAGUGGCCCGAUCGCCAGCAAUCUAUACUUGUUCAAACAUCUCAAAGCAUCCGCCUCCAACUCGUCGAACGUGUUCAACACCACCGCCGGGUGAUCCUCUUGGUCCAGUAUCUCAAAAUUCUCAGUCAGCAUCGGAAUCACGAAAUUAUACACGCUCGGAUUCGUCUCCAGAAAGAAAGACGGCAGAUCGCGGCGGCGGAGGCGCGGCAGCCCCGGUAGCUCGAUCACCUCAUCGGAACAAGGAUCGAAAUUCCUAUUAUGAUAAUGAAAAUAGAUGCCGAAGAGAACGGCUGGUUGGAUCCAGAGCAGCGUGACGGGGACAGCGAGGCGGCGAGCCGCGCGGCCGGCCCAGGGCACGAGGAGAUUGUAAACGAUCCGCGAGUAAGGGGUGCCCUGGGCGCGCUUGGCGGCGACGGCGUCUUCCACGGCCUUGGUGCCGUGGUCGGAGAGCUCUUGCAUGAGUUUGGAGACGUCUCCUGUGGACCAGUCGGUGGUGGUGGAGAAGGAAACGACGUCGAUUAGGGGUUGGAAGGAUGGAGAGAGAGUGUGGGACAUGCGGGCGGUGGCGGAGCUGCUGGUGAGGAUGGUGACCUUAACGCCGUGUUUAGUGAGGCUUUUAGCGAACUGGAGAGAUGGGUUGAUGUGGCCCUGACCGGGGAAGGUGACUAGUAGGAUGUGCUGCUCCGCCAUUGCUUUUCUGUGUGAUGCUCAGUUUGUGGUCAGUGGUCUCAC